AAGUCAUACAAUUUGGGAUUUUGAAUUUAAUAUAUUUUCUUAUACCUACAAUUUUACCUAAAUAGGAUAUUAACUAACGUUCUAUCCAGACAACCCAAAUAUAAAUAACAUAAACAUAAAAAAAUAAAAUACAAUACAUAACUUAAAACUUUACUACUUCUUAUAAAAAUACCUACAGGUAUAAAUAUCAAAGGUUUAUUGGUAUAAUGUUGUCAAUUGUUUCUUUAAUGUAAAUUAAGUCAGAGGCAGAGCAUUUAACAAUCGAAUGGCAGUGAGGGUGAAGUAUGAAUUGAAAAAGUUGGAUCUAUCCGAAGGGAACAGGAGUGACCGGUUAAGAGAAGAACGAAGGGAUAGACGAUUAUUGGAGCCAAGAAAAUGGAAGUAAUCUUUAAAAUAUACAGGAGUUUUAGGAUCGAAAAGUAUGCUUUACAGGAGGGAAAGUUUGACGGCUAUGACGUUGGUGGAUAAGCCAGUUCAGUUUCUUACGGUAUUCAGUGAUAUGAUUAAAUUUAUGGAUUUCAUAAAUUAAACUUGUGAACGGAAAAAAGGACGGAUAUAGGUUUUUAUUAAGAUUACAAUAGCAUAUAUCAGCGUAGUCUAAGAUAGGAAGUAAGAAAGUCUGUGCAAACAUAAUUUUAAUAGGAAUGGGAAGAAAAUUGCUUAACGUCGCAGCACUAUUUUUUUACGUUACUUAUUUGCACAAUUCAGGAUGAGGUCGUAUCAAGAUAUAUCCCCAGAUUAUUGUCGGAGGACGCGAAUGGUAUAAUAAUUCAGUUAAUAGUGAACGUAGUCAAAGUAUCCCACUCGAUCCUCACCACUUACUAUCGAUGUCUAAACAUUGUAUCUUAGAAGGAUUUAAAAGCAAGCCAAAAUUAUCACACCAAUCUAGGAUGUGUCUCAAAUCAAUAUACGUACGACGCAUUUAGUACGGUUUGCAAUGGUUCUUGAUUGUAUAUUUGUAGGACGUCAGCAUACAUGUGGUAAAACGAAGAGAUAUUAGUAGAAGUAGACUUUGUAAAAAGUGGAUAAAAAGUAAAGGCUAAAGAAUACUGCCCUGAGAUACCCCUGCAACAAUAUAAUACUAGGAUGAUAGCGAUUCGUCAACUUUGAUACGCUGGCGGCGUCCAGAGAGGAUGCUACCAAAUCAAGCGAGAGAAUUGGCGGAUACAUUUUUUGUCUUAAGAAUGCAAAGUAGUACGUCGUGAUCAACAGUACUGAAUGCAUUGAUGAAUUCCAAUAAAGUAAGGACCGUUAAAAAUAUGUUGUCCAUACCUGAACUAAUGUCAUUGGUUAUUUUCAUUAAAGCGGUGACUGUACUAUGACCCGGACGAAAACCAGGUUGAAAAGAUUCUUUCUGUUUAGGAAAUAGCCAAAUUGCUCAAGGGUAAUAAGAACGCGUCCUUCCACUUGGAAGGAAAUACUCCUGAAGAAAGAAAAAAUAAGAAUGAACAGGAGCAAUCAACUGCGUUGGAGGAAAUGGAAACAUUAACCUUUCACAUGAAAACUUGGGAAAAUAAGGUGUUGGUAAAUGUGAAAGAAAAUUUGGUAUGGAUUAAUAAUUGAGAUGAUUGCAUACACUUUCCAACACCUAGAUAUUUUAAGAAUUCCCAUACUUUAGAGUUUAGAGGGAUCACAGAUUUUUAAAAUCUUAUAAUAUUUCAAAAAUGUGUAGAAUUCUGUAGACAUUUUUAAGUUUUGGUACAAGUAGUGUAUUAUUGAAAUGUCUCUGAAUCUGCUCGCUUAGUUUUUUUAAGAACACCUAGAAUACCUCUACCAGCCCUGAAUUUGUUUGGUCAGUGUAUAAACUAACAGAUUUUUUAAGUAUUUAUUUUUACUGCAAAAUUUUUUGAAUAAAAAUACGUCUGAAAAUAAUAAAAACGCAGUCAAUGUCUUUAAUGAUUUGAUGAUAUUUUAUUUUACUGUUGUGGUUUUACGCCUGGAUUAGAGAAAGGCUGUACAUGAGGUAUUUUUUUAAAUAUUAAAUUAUUGUAAUAGUCUUCACAACUGCCGUAGAACAAAAUGUACAGUUUCAUUCCCUUAUUAAUGGACGCGCAUCUCAUGUUACAAGCGCCGUCGUAGGUUUGCAAGUCGCUUGCACAUAGUAGUGGCCCCGGUGCGCAGGUACAUAAAAAUCCAUUGUGGUUUCUAUUUGCGCUUGAUAAAACCAGAGAUGAAAG